AAUGUUUAGGUUAUACCCUACCAUUACAUAGGAGAUUCAGGACUUUUCAGGCUAAAGAGGGAAUCUUGAAGCUUCAGUAAAUCAUUAAAGAAUACAUUUAAUCGUAGGGAAUGGGUUAUACAUUCUGUUCUGGCACGGUUACUUUGAGUUUGUUUGGGUUCUUCAGUCUUCUUGCAUUGUUGUUCAAGGUGCCAAAUUAGCAUCAAUAAUAAGAAAACUCUUGCUUCAGUGUCUCUGUCUGCCCCCCACAGGUGAAUGGGAUACCCAUUACCUUAGAAGAAGAGAUGUACCUUUGUUUCCCUACUGAGUUUUGAUCAGAUAUGCACUUGGCCUGAAUGGUUUGAUUGCAGCAGAUGCACAUCCACAUCGCCAGAAGAUCAGCCAGAAAACAUUUAGCUCAUUUCUCCAUUAGUUCUGCCUUCCAGAAACUGCUAGCAAGAGGAUGUUUUCACACAGGAGCAUGAAGGCAGGACAAAACAGUGAAGCUCAAAUGACAGCUCAUGGACUGGUGUCAAAGAAAACAGACCAUGAACAGAUUUACUGACUUAACUGGACUAGCCACAAGGUUGGAAUUAUGUAUGUGCUUCAGUAUCAUGCCAGCCCACAGUUUCAACAGAAACAACAGACAGCCUGUUCCACCUAGCACCAAGUGCAACCAUGCCUUCUGAAAGGGUUUGAUGUCAAACAACGUAUUCAUGAUUACUGUUCAUCUUUGUCCAAGAUGUGGCAGUCAGCUCACAUCCAACACUUAAGAGCAUCAUGACAAAUAGCUGUUUCUUGAAGUGUUUACUCAACACGGUUGAAAGGCUUUUUUCAGCCCUGGCUCAAUGGGAUUUCAGCCUUGAGCCAGAAACACUGUGAUCUUUGGGGGCUUACAAAGCAUGAGUGGCCUUACAAAAUCUAGG
rnacentral:lncRNA from 1 species